rnacentral:tRNA from 1 species
GGUCCGUUGGUGUAAUGGUAUCAACACUACUUAGCUGAUGCUUCGUCGUUCUGCGCAGCGGCCUACUGUCCAGCAUAGAAGUCACCGGUUCGAAUCCGGUACGGGCCA